rnacentral:lncRNA from 10 species
GUUGUUUAAUGUGCAAUCCUCUGGGGGUCUUGUUAAAAAUGCAGAUUCUGAUGCAGCAUGUCUGAGAUGUGGCUCCCAUGGGGAGCUCCAAGGUCCAGCCCUCCUUGGACCGCCCUUUGAGUAGUGAGGCUCCAGGAGAUCCCACAAGCUUCCAGAUUUGACAAUUCUGAGCUUCCUCAACUCCAGAGCCAAACCCCUAACCGAAAGUGGGAUCAGAGGCCAGGCAUGAGUCACUGCGCCUGGCCAAAAAUACCCAUUCCUUUUAAUUAUUUAACUCAGCCUCAUCACCACCCCCUUCCAUCAACACCUCCACGCAGGUCACCAGUGCCCUCCACCUUGGCAAACACUAGUCUCUAUUCCUUUCUCACAUGACCCCAAAGCACCAUUGACAGUUCUCGUACUUGAAAUACCUUCUUAGCUCCAGAUGUUCAUAAGCGAUCUCUCAGGGUGAGGCCCCUUCUACCAGAGCAGCUUCAUUCUUUUUAGGUUGGUGUUGUGUUUUGUUUUGUUGAUACAGGGUCUCCCUCUGUUGUCCAGGCUGGGGUGCAGUGGCACAACCAUGGCUAACUGCAGCCUCGACCUCCUGGGCUCAGGUGAUCCUCCCACCUCAGCCUCCUGAGUAGUGGGGACUACAGGCGUGCACCACCAUGCCCAACUAAUUUGUGUAUUUUUUGUAGAGGUGGGUUUCACCAUGUUGCCCAGGUUGGUCUCAAACUCCCACGUUCAAGCAAUCCUCCUGCCUCGGCCUCCCAAAGUGCUGAGAUUAUAGGCAUGAGCCACAUGCCUGCCCUUUUUAGGUUUAAAUACCAAGGUUCCAUGUGAGAUUUCAUUUGCAAAAAUGAAGCCUCAACUUUUGGGACAAAAUCCUCACUGGUUGAUCUCCUACCCUUCUGCCCAUAAUAAUUUGCUGUGAUUCCUCCUCCAGCCUAGGAGUCCUAUGUAAAUACCAUUUUUGUUUUCAUGGAUUUUAUGACCAUGGCUU